ACCUAUAGGCAUGACUUAUAUAUUCAUGCAUAUUUAAAAUAACUAUAGGCAUGGUAUCUACCCUUUUUGCAUACAUAGUUACCUACCCAUUUUCACUAACCAUCUCCAAGAGUUUAUUACAAAUUAUUACAUCCCGAAAUAAAGUAAAAAAAUACAUCAAAAAAUAUAAGUAAAAGUACAACCAAGGAGAGCUUAGUUCAGACUUCAUGUCUGAAUAUGAGGUAAACCAACUCCAUAAGAUCAUGAUCCAAAGCCUUUCUCCCCUUUGAGUGUGUCAAAGUUCUCUAAGAGUCUCAAAGGAACUCCGAGCAAUGCUCACACCCAAAUUUAUUAUCAUAUUGGGACAAGUGCAGUGUGAAAAGGCCAGCCCUCAAGUAUCUAAGUUCAGAUGGAACUCAUAGGGUCCCAAGGCAAGGCUUACAAGAGGGGGGGCAAAACUUAAAGGCUAAGAAAGUGUGGAAGUGCAUAUCAGAAUGCUAAAAGGGAAAACGAGAGGGAAACAGCUACAAAUAAACACACUUAAGGGGUUCAGGAGAAUAAGGAGAUUGUAAAGAAGCUAUUGCUCAGGCAAGGGCAGAUUGUAGGCAUGCCCAACAAUGGCAGGGGCUAGCUCACCUAUAAGCCUUCCGGAACACAUGUUCUUAGAGGCUAGGAUCCUAGAGGAUCAAAUUUGAUUCAGGGACAAUAACUUGCGGUAUUGCCAUGCCCAAACCAUAGCUUAAACACAUAGGGGUAGAGGUUUGAAAUUCAUAGUAGAAUAGGCAGAAAGAAAUGAGUAUGCUAGAAUGAGUGUUAUACAUAAGCUGUAAACAGGGAUACAAAAGCAGUAAAUAAACACAUUAUUGUAGUGCUAAAACUUAAAUCAGGACAUACCGAUUUUAAAGAAACAAAUAGAGAGAAAGCAAGCAACAUGUCUUGUCACAGGCCACAGUAUAAGCAAACAAGAGAGAAUACUUUUAAGUGUAAGUGUAAGUUUAGAAAGACUACCAGUGAUGGAUGUUUAUUUAUGAAAGAGUCGUGUAUUUAUAGUAUGAAAAACAGGCAGAAAUAAGGUAAGAAAAUAAUUAAGGAUCUGGGUAUCAAUUAAAAUCAAUCAGUACAAAACAUCCUUUAAUUAAGGAAUUUAAAUGGUAAUAAGCUAGGAAAUUAUUUAAGGAAAGAGAUCGAACAAGUGUUUGUGCAAAGUAGGCAAUUAGGGAUAAAUACAUAAGAAAUUACUUAAGGGUAGAACUUUGAAACAUACGGUUACAUAAAUAAGGUAAAAAAUCAAUUAGUAGACACUAAAUCAAGGAUCAGAUAUUUUGUAAUAAUUGGUCCAUGAAUGAACCAAGUCAGAAAACCUAAGGAAAGUUUUUGACUUAAAUCGGGUCACAAGGAAAUUAGCAAACAAUGAAAGAAAUCAAUCAAACCUUUACAAAGAAAGUAUGAAAUUAAUAAAAAUUAAAAGCCAUUUUAGAGGGAAGUUCGGCACAUAUAAAGAGCACACAAGCAUGCAAAGCUGAAUUUAGGGCAAAGAAAAAUGUCAUGCAAUUGCAAAAUCAGUAGGUAAUAGGCUAUGAGAUAGUCAUAUAGGUCAGCAAUGUAAAAUAGAGAUAGUAUCAAAUAGCAUACAAAUAGUCCAGUGUAAAGACUUUAGAAGAGCUUAGUGGAGAAUCAGAGUUGCUUAAAGAAACAGAGGUUAAAACAAAGAUUUCAAGACUCAGUUGAGCAACAGAUGAAACAAAUUCAGAAACUGGAAAUAGUUAGGGUUUCUGAAAUCAAACAAUUUCAAAGAUGAAGAACAAGCAUAUCACAUAGACAAUGUUCUCAAACUCAAAUGAACCCCUAAAUUCUAGGGUUUUACGAUCAAUCGAGUGCAGAGAUGAGUGGACAAGUAAUCAAGGAAAAAGAUACUAAUCGAAACAAGUUUAGACGUCUCAGAAAAGAACUGAGACCUUUAACAUGCUCUUUCAGUAGCAAGAACUCAUGAGAUGCAUAGUAAAAGAACAACAUGUGAAAUACAGUAGAGGAACUCAAAGAGACAUAUCGGAAAAACUGAUAAGAAACCUAAUGAAAGAAACUAAUAAGAACAGUAGGAGAAGUAUAUUAGAAGAAACUUAAUAAGAACACAGUAGGAGAAAUAUAUAAAGAAUGCAGUAGAGAAACAUAUAAAACAGUAGAGGAAACUGAUAAGAACAUGGUACAAAGAAACUUAAUAAGAACACAAUAGGAGAAAUAUAUAGAGAAUACAGUAGAGAAACAUAUAAAACCAGUAGAGGAAACUGAUAGGAACAUGGUAAGAGAAACUUAACAAGAAACAUAUUAGAAGAAGCACAAAGAACACAGUAGAAAUAACAUAGUAGGAGAAAUACACAAAGAACACAGUUGAAGAAACAUCUAAAUAACUCAAAAAACGAAAACCCUAGAUCGGAAAAAUAUAAAGGUUUUGAAAGCAUAACUUUUGAAAGAAAUAUCAAGAAAUUGUUUAAAAGUUUAGGGAAAAUAUGGAUCUAGAAUAGAUCUAAAGAAAAUAGAAGAACCUCAAAAGCUAGGGUUUCAGAGGAACCCAAACGGUAAGAAAAGCUUAGAUAGAUUUAAGUAGGAUGAGUCGAAGCUAGGCUCGAAACGGACAUGGCUUGCCGAAGCAAGGCCAGAGAUGGCCAUAAAACUUAAAUAAAAAGAAGUUCUAGAUAAAGCUUCUUUGUGAUCAGACCAUGAAACUUCAGCAACCAAGCGUGUAUGAACCAUGGAAGGCUGGUAGGUGGUGAGACCACCGUAGAUUCAGGCUAGGAGGUAGCCGGAGAAGGUGAUGAAAACUCAUUGGAGCAGAGGGGAAGGGAAAAGGUUCUAGAGAGAACCAGAGAUAGAGAGAUAGAGAGAUA
rnacentral:lncRNA from 1 species